AUGGAUGCAGCACUCGCUACUGAGUUGGAGAUUGAUGGAAAGCGUGAACCUCUCUGUCUAAAGUGGACUGGAAACAUGGGUCGGCUAGAGAACGAGUCGAUAAAAUUGAAUGUGCAAAUUUCCGGUACGGGAAUAAACCAAAGAAAGUAUUGGCUUCAAGGAGUCCAUACGGUUUCUGCUUUGGAUCUCUUCCAUCAAUCCGUUAACGCACAGGAGCUUGCGAAUCAGUACGAACACUUGCGAGGAAUUCCAGUUGAAUCUUACCAGAACGCACAACCACGUUUGCUAAUUGGAAUCAAGAAUGCAAAUCUCAGCUAUCCCUUGAAAGGACGAGAAGGGCGGCUAAAUGAACCCAUCGCAACAAAAACACGGUUGGGCUGGGUUAUUCACGGUGGUUCUGAUGAGGAUGAUCUGCUGUUAGCUUACCAUGGUGUACAAAUCUGCCCUUGCCACGAAAAGGGAGAUGAUUGUCUAGAGCAAGCAUUGAAAGACUACCUAUCACUGGAAGGACUUGGUGUCACGAAACCUGACAAGCCACUGCUGUCCAAAGAAGACCAACGAGCUUUAGAGAUAUUGGACAAAGUAGUCCAAACUGACAGCGGACAUUAUGAAACCCAGUUACUUUGGAAAUUUGAUGAAUUCCGUCUACCAAAUAGUAAACCUGUAGCUCUUCGUCGAUUUCUUUGCUUGGAAUCAAGAAUGGCCAAAGAUCCUAAGCUAGCGACUGCUCUGAGAGAGAAAAUCGAAGACUAUAAGGAAAAGGGCUAUAUUCGGAAACUUUCGGAAGCAGAAAUUCAGGAGAAGAUGCAACGCUUCUGGUAUAUCCCCAUAUUUCCAGUAUUCAAUGCAAACAAGCCAGGGAAAUUGCGUAUUGUCUGGGAUUGCGCUGCAAAGACUGGAAAUGUUUCGCUAAAUUCGAUGCUGAUAAAGGGUCCCGAUCAGCUAGUUCCCCUCAACAAUGUCCUCUAUAGGUUUCGGGAGAAUAAGAUUGGAAUCAGCGGCGAUAUUAGAGAAAUGUUUCUCCAAGUGAGAAUUGCCAAAGAAGACCAAAAUUGCCAAUUGUUUUUAUGGAAAGAUGAUCCCGAAGACGAUACACCAAGCACUUAUGUGUUGCAGGUAAUGACGUUUGGCGCAAGCUGUUCGCCAAGCUGUGCACAGUUUGUGAAAAACCUCAACGCAAACAAAUACGUUGACCAAUUCCCUAGAGCAGCAGAAGCGAUCACAAAACAGCAUUAUGUGGACGAUAUGCUGAUCAGCGUAGAAAGCGAAGAUGAAGCCAUUCAAUUAGCAGAAGAUGUCCGAUACGUACACUCUCAGGCUGGCUUUGAAAUUCGGAACUGGACUUCAAACUCCGUCUCAGUUCUUAACGCUCUUCACCAGGAAAAGACAGAUCACAAAAGUCUUCACAUUGGAUCAGAGCCUGCCGUGGAAAAAGUCCUUGGCAUGUGGUGGUGCACGGACACAGAUAGUUUCACCUACAAACUCUCCCCAAAAUACGAUUCCAAGCUUCUGAAUAGUGAACAAAAACCCACUAAAAGAGAGGUUCUACGAACACUCAUGUCCAUUUUCGACCCUUUGGGUCUAUUGUCAAAUGUACUCGUUUAUUUGAAAAUACUCUUUCAAGAGAUUUGGCGUUCCGGCAUAAAUUGGGAUGACCAAAUACCAGACAAUCUCUACACCAAAUGGGAACAAUGGCUGCGUGUUAUUCCGAAACUACAGGAUAUCAACAUUCCCCGAUGCUACCGUUCCUUGACUACAAUGGAUGUGAAUACGAAGAUACAGCUACAUACAUUUGUAGACGCUAGUGAGUUGGGAUACGCGGCAGUGGUAUAUCUGCGAUAUCAACAAGGCAGUAAGGUGGAAUGCGCGAUUGUCGGUGCCAAAUCCCGAGUAGCACCUUUAAAAUUCAUCUCUAUUCCGAGAUUGGAGCUCCAGAGCGCCGUUCUUGGCACCCGGCUUGCCAACACAAUCUCGGAAGCAUUGUCUUUCGUCAUCAACGAGCGAUUCUUCUGGACCGAUGCACGAGAUGUUCUAUGUUGGUUGCGUUCGGACCACCGCCGGUAUACACCAUACGUAGCCUGGCGGGUUAGCGAGAUAUUGGAUACUACAGCUAUUAACGACUGGAAGUGGGUUAGUACCAAGGACAAUGUGGCUGAUGAAGCGACCAAGUUGAAACGUGCCCUAGAUAUUAGCUGCAAUGGUAGGUGGUUCAGGGGGCCGGAAUUCUUGUGGCAAACUACAGAUAUGUGGCCAUGCGAACCUUUCAGCACCAAUACAACUAAGGAAGAACUUCGUGCAAAUCUUUUGCACCAUAUGGCGGUUUCGCAGCCGUUGUUCCAAGAAGAAAAAUUUUCGGAUUGGAAUCGCCUAUUGCGGACAGCUGCAACUGUAAUCAGAUACAUCGGUAAUAUCCGACGAAAAUCAACAGGGGAAGAACGCCAAACAGGACCACUGUCGAGAGACGAGCUCGUACAAGCUGCAAGCGUGCUGUACCGUCAAGCUCAAAGUACGUCCUUUGCAGAAGAAAUGAAUCUUUUGUCAAAUCCUCAAGUCGGCAAGGAGAUACCCAAGUCAAGUUCAGUUUACACCUUAAACCCAUUCCUGGACGAGCGGCAAGUAAUGCGUAUGCAUGGCCGCAUAAGUGCUUGUGAAUAUGCCAGUAGCGAUGCCAUGAAUCCCGUGAUACUUCCCAAGGAUCACUACAUAACAAAACUAAUCGUGCAAGACUACCACCAGCGCUAUCAUCACCGCAAUCACGAAACUGUGUUAAACGAGUUGCGGCAAGUGUACCGAAUUGCAAAACUACGCAGAUUGCUAGGAAAGAUCAAAGCCGAAUGUCAAACAUGCAAAAACCAGCGAGCAGCUCCCAAACCUCCUCCGAUGGCAGACCUUCCUAGUGCCAGAUUGGCUGCUUAUACCAGGCCUUUUUCGUAUGUCGGAAUUGAUUAUUUCGGACCUAUGACUGUAGCGGUGGGGCGGCGUAUCGAAAAACGUUGGGGAGUCUUAGUAACGUGCUUGACUAUAAGGGCGGUGCACUUAGAAAUAGCACAUUCUCUAAGUGCAGAUUCCUGCAUUAUGGCAUUGCGAACGUUUAUGGCAAGGCGGGGGGUUCCUAUACAAAUAUAUAGCGACCGGGGAACUAAUUUUGUUGCGACCAACAAGGAACUGAGGGAAUCAUUGAAGGAAAUGGAUCAAGAGAAAGUGAUUCAGAAAAUUACCAGCCAGAACACUCAAUGGACAUUCCUUCCACCAGCUUCCCCGCACAUGGGCGGUGCGUGGGAGCGACUUAUCCAGACGGUCAAGGUCAAUCUACAGGCAAUGCUGCCUACGCGAAAUCCUACUGAUGAGGUUCUGCGCAACACGCUGGCCGAAAUCGAGAACCUCAUAAACUCACGACCACUGACCCACGUUCCGGUAGAAGAUCCUGAUGCGCCAGUAUUAACACCAAAUCAUUUCAUUCUGGGCUCAUCAAAUGGGUUGAAGCCUGCCACGCGAUUGGAUGACAGAGCUUUAAUUCUACGACGAUCUUGGCGUCAAUCACAAAGAGAAGCGGACUUAUUUUGGAAACGUUGGCUUCGAGAUUACUUGCCAGAGCUAACCAAACGUACGAAGUGGUAUUCUAACGUCAAGCCAAUAGAAGUUAAUGACGUCGUACUUGUCGUUGAUCCAGAUCUUCCUAGGAACUGUUGGCCUAAGGGUAGGGUCAUUUCGGUCAAUCGAGCAAAAGACGGACAAGUAAGAUCAGCCGCUGUACAAACUAUAACUGGAAUAUACGAGCGUCCUACAACGAAGAUCGCUGUCUUGGAUAUUCGUCGCGAAGAAUCGGUAAGCCAGGACCCUGGCGUACCCGGGGGGGAGUGUUGCGACCCCUCGGUCGGCGCGGCUCAUCAAGACGACCUUCGUAGAUAGUCCCAUGCGCCUGAUAAAAGUUGUCUGUCAUGACAGACCGCUUGUCAAAUAAGUGAUCGUGACAGGAAUGAUUCGACAAAAAAGGGCGAUAGUUCUCGAAGUGUAGAAGUGCAAAUACCUAUUAUAAAGCUACUAGAUUCAAUUAUUUUCAUUAUUUCUUUAGCCAUUAUUUGAUAUAAGGUAAUUUCGCGAUAUGCAGUAUAUUCCGUUUGUUAUCACUAAUUCUGAAUUAUCUUGAAUAUUAAUUUAGAUCGUUAUAGCUUAUAGCAUAUAACUGACCGAACGGUUGUGUGAAUUCGGGUGUCGGUUCCAGUUAUACACGUUCACGUAAGCCUCACUUCAUGAGUUUAAUAUGAAUGAAUUCGCUAACAUAUAUGUACCAUGCAGAACCAGGUUUGUCGUUAGAAGCUUAGAUCCACAAACGAGGACGUAGAAAGGAGGAAAUAAAAUAGCGAAAGAACUAAACGAAUUUUUUAAUGAACGCAAUAAAACAUUAAGAAAUUGGAA